AGAGUUUGAUCCUGGCUCAGAGCGAACGCUGGCGGCAGGCUUAACACAUGCAAGUCGAACGGACCCUUCGGGGUUAGUGGCGGACGGGUGAGUAACACGUGGGAACGUGCCUUUAGGUUCGGAACAACACAGGGAAACUUGUGCUAAUACCGGAUGUGCCCUUCGGGGGAAAGAUUUAUCGCCUUUAGAGCGGCCCGCGUCUGAUUAGCUAGUUGGUAGGGUAAAGGCCUACCAAGGCUACGAUCAGUAGCUGGUCUGAGAGGAUGGCCAGCCACAUUGGGACUGAGACACGGCCCAAACUCCUACGGGAGGCAGCAGUGGGGAAUCUUGCGCAAUGGGCGAAAGCCUGACGCAGCCAUGCCGCGUGGAUGAUGAAGGUCUUAGGAUUGUAAAAUCCUUCAGCGGG
rnacentral:rRNA from 1 species